AAAGUCUGAGAUCCAGAUGCCAGCAGAUUAGGUAUAUGUUGAGGCUCCGCUUCCUGGUGUGCUGAUGGCUGUCUUUUCAUUGUGUCCUCAUAUGGCUAGGAAAGAAACCAUCUCUCUUGUGUCUUUUCUUACAAAGGCACUAAUUCCAUUCAUGAGGGUUCCACCCUUAUAGCCUAUUUGCCUCCCAAAUUUCCCACCUCCAAAUACCAUCACAUUGGGAUUAGAGCUUCAACAGAUGAAUUUUGAGGGACACAUACAUUUAGUACCUAGCACAGUUUUCUGAGCAUGAUCAGGUUUCUAGCAAAUGUUUGAUGGCAAAACAUGAAAAUGUUAAUCUGAGUAGAGAUUAAUACAUAGCAAAUGUGGUUUAUUCUUCACUAAAUUCUCAUUUCAUCCACACAUUGGGGGAUGUUCCAUUAAGGAAAAUUAGAGUGAAUCAGAACCGAUCUACUAGGUACUUAGUUUGCAGGCUUAAGUUUUUCAAUUGUGAUUUUAUACCUUAAAAUUUGAACCGAGACUAAAUAAAGCAAAACAACAACAAAAAAACAUUUUCUAAAUCCUUCCAUCACUUUAGAAAUAUAUGGUUUUGAAAAUGCUGUAAAUUAAAUAGUGCACAUGGUAAUGCUACAUUUUUUAAAAAUGUUUAUCUUUUUGUUGACGUUUUGGUCCCAAUUUAAGUGUACCUCAUUUAGGAGGUAGAAAUCUCUCUGGAGGCAAGGGAUUGACAGUAUGGCAGGGAGAGAUGUGAAGGGAAUCCUGUUCAGCAGAACAAAUGCCAGGAGACAUUUAUAGUCUGUAACAGUAGCCUGGGACUCAGACAGCUUUAUUGAUGUGUCAUCAGGCUGAGGAGAGAAGGCACCGCAGCAGGGUGACAAGGACAUGUUCUGUGUGUUCAUCGAUCUGCAGUCUCCCAUGGAAAACUCCACAUAUUUCUGAAUGUCUUGAGCAGUUUUAUUGAUGCAGCUCCUGCCAGCGGAGUGGGGAAUUGGAGUCACCACGUUGAUUUUUCAUGUCAUGUUGGCACUGUUCUUUAAGAACUUAAUAUGCUCAUUGGUGUAGGAAAGGGGGGAGGAUAUUGAAUAUCUCAUCAAAUUAUUUUGGGUGGGUUGCAAGAAAAUUGCAAAACCCCAGAGAGUCAAAAGAGUAUGAAAUCUGCCUGAAGUAUAAUGUACAUGGCUGCUAUUUAGAAUUUCUACAGUCCUCUGCUACUGAAAUCCUCCAUUGCAGCAAGUGAUGAAUCUUGACUGGGGGAACCAGUCACUGGAGCUAAACUGUCAUCUAAGAAGAUGAUACAAAAAGCUGAUAGAACUUUAAUACAUGUCUAGUUUGUGAGUGGGUAUAUUCAUGGGGCAGACUGAAUUAGAGCUUGUCAGUUAAUCAUAAAGCCAUAAGCCUAAGAAGGACAUUGAAAGGUUAUGCAAUCCAUUUGCCUGUCUUAUAUAAAGAACAAAACAAAACAAAAAAAUCCCAUAGACCUCUUCAGGGCAGUCAUUUUGAGAUAUGAAUUUCAAUUUUAAAUUCACAAAUGGCAUGUGCUUAUCAUUCUUUUUAUCAUUAAAUAUUAAAUUCAUAAUUAGUUUCUCAAGAAAACAAUCAAUUCUGAAACUCUUAUUCUGUAAUGUACCUGAUUAUGAAUUUAUCAGUUAUUUGAACCAACCUACUGCUGUCUACCUAGGAAUGAUGCUGGGGAUAAUGUUCUAAAAACCUUUAUCAUAGUUUAAUAGGAAAAAAGACAGUCUUUACUCAGGUUAUUUGGGGAGCUCAAAGGAACAGCUACCUAAAUCCGGGGCUGUGGUUGAGGGGAGUAUGAGAAGCCUUAAUGAGGGCUUCUUGGAGUUGAAUAAUUGCAGGCUUGAUAUCACUAUAUAUUCCACAACUAAUGUGUCUCUGUAAAUUUUUAAAAUCAUUGGUCAUAGUGGAACAGCCCUCAUUUUCAUUUAGAAUGUUUUCUUCUGCCUCAGAUCCGCCUCUCACUCUUUGCUCUUUCUUAGGCAUCUCACGCUGUUAUAGUUUAUAAAAAUACAGAGACAGAGAUAGGGAUGGAUAGAGAGAUAGAAAGAGAAUCUUUGGUCUUUUGCCCAUUUCUAGAUAUCACUCAUACCUUUCUUUCAUCACUAAGUUUUCAGAAAUAAUUAUCCACACUUAACCCAUUGCUGUCUGCUUACAGGCUCUACUGCUCCUUUGAUGUAGGUCCAACAAAGAUUACUUUGGGACUCCAGGGAGCUUUUGAAUCCUAUCUCAUUUGACCCCUUUGCAUCCUAGAGCAUCCUUGACUACUCUACCUCAGGAAACUUUCUCUGCCUUUGGCUUCUAAAGCACCUCUCUCCUCUCCUCCUGCUGUGCCCUUUACUGUCUCUUUUAGCUUCCCUUCUCUUGACUUGCAUCACAGGGGAUGGUGAUCCCCGUGAUUCCACUUUUAUCCCCAUUUCACAUCUCUCUCUUUUUACUUUUCACGGGAUAUACUCUCAUUUAUUGACUUUCUCAACUUCCAGUUCUUCAGCUAGCCUUAAUAGUCUGGGAAGUCACACAUCUCUAGCUCCCACUCAGGGGUCUUUGCAGAGCCAAGGCUUAACACCAAUUCUACAUUGCAUGGCUUUACUUGUAUGCACAUCAAGCCUGUGUAACUCAGAGAAUCCAAAGGUAAUUUUCUCAUGCCUCCUCUGGCCAACCCUUUCUCCUAUGUUUCCUGUCUCUCCGUGGAAUGACACCAUCAAUCACAUUCUGUUUGUCAAACUUCACUAUUUCUUGACCUUCAUGAAUCCCACUAUUUCUUGACCUUCAUGAAUGCCACUAUUUCUUGACCUUCAUGAAUCCCACCACAUUCCUUUUGGUUUUACCUCUUUUAUAUUCACCUGCUAUUAAAAAGCAGUGACUAUUUCUAAAGCCUUGACAAUUUUUUUCUCAUUAGUCUCAAAAAAAGCACUUUGACAUCUGAACUCAAAGCUAGAAUCUCAGAGUAUUGCUAGACUAGGACUACGUCUGGUGCAAAGGCAGAGAAGAUUAGGGUCCACGAUCAGCAAAUUUUAGAGUAGGUGAUGAUUUUAUCCAGCCUCAUCAUUCAGUCACUCUUCUUUCUAGCCUCCAGGAUGAUUCUGAUGCCAAAUGGCAUAAGGAAAACAGAUUUCACUUAUCCCCCCAAAUUCUUUUAUUUUAUCAUUAAAAACAGCACUGUCUGCAUUUCUAAAAGAAUACUUCAGAGUCAUAGACACAAAGACUACUGUUCCUCCUGUGGGAACCUCAAGAACUGUGGAAUUAAGUCAUGAAUUAAUUUGCAAAGUUGAGUUUUUCAGACUUUCUUGUAUCCUGUUCCAAGAUAAUUAGUAUUCAUAGAAAAGUCAACCUUGAUUUGAUUAAGGCAGUGUGCUUUGGACAGGAGAUCCAGUAUGCUGUACAAAUCAUAGUGAAGGAGGAAGGAGAUUACUCCAAGAUGAAUUUGAUGUUAUAGGCUGGUUUAGGUUGAUGGAAAGGUCCUGUAGACCAAGCAAUGGUUUCGCAUUUGUUUGAAAGGCGAUGGGACGCUUCUUAAGCUUUUUUAGUUGGGAUGCAAUUUAAUUCUAUCAUCUGUGAAUCUUGGUUUCAUAUAAGC
rnacentral:lncRNA from 1 species